rnacentral:rRNA from 1 species
UGCGAGGUUGGUUUAGUUAAGUCAGAUGUAGAACGGCCGGGCUACAACCGACGGUAAUUGCUAUUAGAACGUGGACAACUAGAGUACUGUAGGAGGGGGUAGAAUUUCAGGUGUAGCGGUGAAAUGCGUAGAGAUCUGAAGGAAUACCGGUGGCGAAGGCGGCCCCCUGGACAGAUACUGACACUCAGAUGCGAAAGCGUGGGGAGCAAACAGGAUUAGAUACCCUGGUAG